UACGGAGGGUGCGAGCGUUGUCCAGAAUCACUGGGCGUAAAGGGCGCGUAGGUGGCGCGGGCAGUCAACGGUGAAAGUUCGGGGCUCAACCCUGAAUCGGCCGUCGAUACUCCCGGGCUUGAGCACUGUAGAGGCUAAUGGAAUUCCGGGUGUAGCGGCGGAAUGCGUAGAGAUCCGGAAGAACACCGGUGGCGAAGGCGGUUAGCUGGGCAGUUGCUGACACUGAGGCGCGACAGCGUGGGGAGCAAACAGG
rnacentral:rRNA from 1 species